rnacentral:lncRNA from 1 species
ACACACAUCCUCCAAGUUCUCUCUCUCAUUUUGAAAUCUAAAGGAAAAGAUGAGAUUGGAAAUAGAGAAAGCUCUCACAUGAGUCAAUCAGUUCCAACGGGAAAUAACAUUACUACUACCUUCUCUUUUCUUCUUUCUACUACAACCUCAUAAACCUUUCUUUUUCACCUAACAAAACCCACAUGCUACAAACUACUCAUUUACCACACUCA